rnacentral:rRNA from 2 species
AAAUUGAUUUUAUGCUUGCAUAAAUGAUUUUUGGAUUCGGAGCGAGUGGCGAACUGGUGAGUAACACGUGGGUAACCUGCCCCGAAGCGGGGGAUAACAUUUGGAAACAAGUGCUAAUACCGCAUAAUUAGUUGGAACCGCAUGGUUCCAACUUGAAAGAUGGCUCUGCUAUCACUUUGGGAUGGACCCGCGCCGUAUUAGUUAGUUGGUGAGAUAAAAGCCCACCAAGACGAUGAUACGUAGCCGACCUGAGAGGGUAAUCGGCCACAUUGGGACUGAGACACGGCCCAGACUCCUACGGGAGGCAGCAGUAGGGAAUCUUCCACAAUGGACGAAAGUCUGAUGGAGCAACGCCGCGUGAGUGAUGAAGGUUUUCGGAUCGUAAAACUCUGUUGUUAAAGAAGAACAAGUGUUAGAGUAACUGUUAACACUUUGACGGUAUUUAACCAGAAAGCCACGGCUAACUACGUGCCAGCAGCCGCGGUAAUACGUAGGUGGCAAGCGUUGUCCGGAUUUAUUGGGCGUAAAGCGAGCGCAGGCGGUUUUGUAAGUCUGCUGUGAAAGCCCUCAGCUCAACUGAGGAAGUGCAGUGGAAACUACAAAACUUGAGUACAGAAGAGGAAAGUGGAACUCCAUGUGUAGCGGUGAAAUGCGUAGAUAUAUGGAAGAACACCAGUGGCGAAGGCGGCUUUCUGGUCUGUUACUGACGCUGAGGCUCGAAAGCAUGGGUAGCGAACAGGAUUAGAUACCCUGGUAGUCCAUGCCGUAAACGAUGAAUACUAGGUGUUGGAGGGUUUCCGCCCUUCAGUGCCGCAGCUAACGCAUUAAGUAUUCCGCCUGGGGAGUACGACCGCAAGGUUGAAACUCAAAGGAAUUGACGGGGGCCCGCACAAGUGGUGGAGCAUGUGGUUUAAUUCGAUGCUACGCGAAGAACCUUACCAGCUCUUGACAUCUUCUGCCAACCCAAGAGAUUGGGCGUUCCCUUCGGGGACAGAAUGACAGGUGGUGCAUGGUUGUCGUCAGCUCGUGUCGUGAGAUGUUGGGUUAAGUCCCGCAACGAGCGCAACCCUUAUUAUUAGUUGCCAGCAUUUAGUUGGGCACUCUAGUGAGACUGCCGGUGAUAAACCGGAGGAAGGUGGGGACGACGUCAAAUCAUCAUGCCCCUUAUGAGCUGGGCUACACACGUGCUACAAUGGAUGGUACAACGAGUCGCGAAACCGCGAGGUCAAGCUAAUCUCUUAAAGCCAUUCUCAGUUCGGAUUGCAGGCUGCAACUCGCCUGCAUGAAGUGGAA